AGUAAGUUUUAUUCUUGCUUAUAUAUUUAUUAUGAAUCAGUGUUAUAUGCAAUUAUUAUUAUAUUUAUUCUGAAUGAUAAUUAUAAUUUAAUAGCAGUAGUAAAUUUUAGUAAUUGAAGAAAUUUUGAUUUAGCUAUAUUCAUUAAGUAUUGAUUAAAUAUGUGCCAGCAAUCGCGGUUAUACAUAAAAUAUAAGUAAAUAUUUUUAGUUUAUUAGUUAUUAAAUUAUAUUUAAUUUAUUUUAAUUAAUUUUAGGUGAAAUUUAAUUAUUUUUUUUUGAUUAAUUAUUUAUGUGAGAGGCUAUGAAAUCCUUUAUAAUAAACUAGGAUUAGAUACCCUAUUAUUAAGGAAUUAAAUUUUUAAACUUGAGUAGUAUUAGUUAUGGUCUUGAAACUUAAAGAAUUUGGCGGUAUCUUAGUCUAUUUAGAGGAAUCUGUUCCAUUAUCGAUAUUCCGCGUUGGACCUUACUUGAUUUAAUUAUUUGUAUACCGCCGUUUAUUUGAAGAUCUUAUUAGGGAAAAAUUUUCUUAAUAUUUAAUUUUAUUAUAUUUCAGGUCAAGGUGCAGUUUUAUAAUUAAGUGGAAAUGGAUUACAAUAUAUUUAUAAAUGAAUUAUUAAAUGAAAAUUUUAUAUGAAGGUGGAUUUAAUAGUAAUUUUGAUAAGAAUUAUUAUUAUGAUUUUAGCUCUAAGAUGUGCACACAUCGCCCGUCGCUCUCAUUAUUAAGGUGAGAUAAGUCGUAACAUAGUAGGUGUACCGGAAGGUGCAGCUAGAAAGAU
rnacentral:rRNA from 1 species